rnacentral:tRNA from 1 species
GGGGCUGUAGCUCAGCUGGGAGAGCACAUGACUGGCAGUCAUGGGGCCGUGGGUUCAAGUCCCACCAGCUCCACCA